rnacentral:SRP_RNA from 1 species
GGUCGGGUCCCAUGCAAUGGGACAUGUAGACAACGGGUCAGGCUGGAAACAGAGCAGCCCAGCUACCUGCUCUCAGGUGCCGUGGUCAACCUGACCUUC